rnacentral:piRNA from 1 species
UAAAAGUUUCAGAGCAGCACAGAGUGGGU